rnacentral:rRNA from 1 species
AGUGAACGCUGGCGGUAGGCCUAACACAUGCAAGUCGAACGGCAGCACAGUAAGAUCUUGCUCUUACGGGUGGCGAGUGGCGGACGGGUGAGGAAUACAUCGGAAUCUACUUUUUCGUGGGGGAUAACGUAGGGAAACUUACGCUAAUACCGCAUACUACCUACGGGUGAAAGCAGGGGAUCUUCGGACCUUUCGCGAUUGAAUGAGCCGAUGUCGGAUUAGCUAGUUGGCGUGGUAAAGGCCCACCAAGGCGACGAUCCGUAGCUGGUCUGAGAGGAUGAUCAGCCACACUGGAACUGAGACACGGUCCAGACUCCUACGGGAGGCAGCAGUGGGGAAUAUUGGACAAUGGGCGCAAGCCUGAUCCAGCAAUACCGCGUGGGUGAAGAAGGCCUUCGGGUUGUAAAGCCCUUUUGUUGGGAAAGAAAAGCAGCAGGUUAAUACCCCGAUGUUCUGACGGUACCCAAAGAAUAAGCAACGGCUAACUUCGUG